UACGUAGGGGGCAAGCGGUUGUCCGGAAUCAUUGGGCGUAAAGCGCGUGUAGGCGGCUCGAUAAGUCUGCUGUGAAAGUCCAGGGCUCAACCCUGGGAAUGCCGGUGGAUACUGUCGGAGCUCGAGUCCGGAAGAGGCGAGUGGAAUUCCUGGUGUAGCGGUGAAAUGCGCAGAUAUCAAGGAGGAACACCCUGUGGCGAAAGCGGCUCACUGGACCAUAACUGACGCUGAUGACACGAAAGCUAGGGGGAGCAAACAGGA
rnacentral:rRNA from 1 species